GCCUGGCUGGCUCAGUCGGUUGAGCGUCCGACUUCGGCUCAGGUCAUGAUCUCGCGGUCCGUGAGUUCGAGCCCCGCGUCGGGCU
rnacentral:tRNA from 1 species